rnacentral:rRNA from 1 species
UACGGGGGGGGCAAGCGUUGUUCGGAAUUACUGGGCGUAAAGGGCUCGUAGGUGGCCAACUAAGUCAUACGUGAAAUCCCUCGGCUUAACCGGGGAACUGCGUCUGAUACUGGUUGGCUUGAGGUUGGGAGAGGGAUGCGGAAUUCCAGGUGUAGCGGUGAAAUGCGUAGAUAUCUGGAGGAACACCGGUGGCGAAGGCGGCAUCCUGGACCAAUUCUGACACUGAGGAGCGAAAGCCAGGGGAGCAAACGGG